UUUCAUUGAUGAUAUCACACUUUGCCUGAACAAAAUGAGGGCAAAAUACUGAUUUAAUGAGACUGAGAA
rnacentral:snoRNA from 1 species